UACGUAGGGCGCAAGCGUUGUCCGGAAUUAUUGGGCGUAAAGAGCUCGUAGGCGGUCUGUUGCGUCUGCUGUGAAAACCCGGGGCUUAACCCCUGGCUUGCAGUGGAUACGGACAGACUAGAGGUAGGUAGGGGAGAAUGGAAUUCCCGGUGUAGCGGUGAAAUGCGCAGAUAUCGGGAGGAACACCGGUGGCGAAGGCGGUUCUCUGGGCCGUACCUGACACUGAACCGCGACAGCAUGGGGAGCAAACAGG
rnacentral:rRNA from 1 species